GAUGAACGCUGGCGGCGUGCUUAACACAUGCAAGUCGAACGAUGAAGCCCAGCUUGCUGGGUGGAUUAGUGGCGAACGGGUGAGUAACACGUGAGUAACCUGCCCUUGACUCUGGGAUAAGCCCGGGAAACUGGGUCUAAUACCGGAUAGGAGCGCCUGUCGCAUGACGGGUGCUGGAAAGAUUUUUCGGUCAUGGAUGGACUCGCGGCCUAUCAGCUUGUUGGUGAGGUAAUGGCUCACCAAGGCGACGACGGGUAGCCGGCCUGAGAGGGUGACCGGCCACACUGGGACUGAGACACGGCCCAGACUCCUACGGGAGGCAGCAGUGGGGAAUAUUGCACAAUGGGCGGAAGCCUGAUGCAGCGACGCCGCGUGAGGGAUGACGGCCUUCGGGUUGUAAACCU
rnacentral:rRNA from 1 species